rnacentral:sRNA from 1 species
CAAAUUCCCAACCCCUUGUUUCUUUUUUCUUUUUUUUUUUCCUUCUUCCUUUCAUGUAGAUGCAAGUCCAUCUCAUUUAGGUUCUGACAGUUCUUGGGGAUUACCUGCCUUUUUCCCUAUUAAUUUAUUUAUUCAUUUUACAUCCUGAUCGCAGCCCCCUCUCUGAGAUCAUGUUUUGGUAUUUUUUAAGUUGCAAAGUACCCUAGUGAGUGUAUGAUUUUGAUAUUCCUUCCUCUUGUGUAUACUGAGUUCAUCUGGUAGAAUAAAUGUAUAAAACAAAAACCCUAAAUAUGUUUACCUGUGGACUGGGUACUGAGUAGUUGUUAGUCCAGAUAUUACAUUCGUUAUGAGACGCUCAAGAGUCUGGAGCAGAUGAAUGUUAGCUCACGUCCCCUCUCUCUAGGAUGUGCUUCUCUCUCCUUUUAAACACCACACAGAAGCUGCAUGUGGAAGGUGGAGGCAGGAGGAUCCAGAGUCACAGGCUAGCCUCAGCUACGUGGUGAAUAUGGAUGAAAUUUCACAAAAAGAAGCUGCUUUUUCAAAGUGAACCUUCCGCAAGGCUGACUAAUCCUCGAAGCUACGUGACAGAGAUGGAGCACUGGGAAUGCACAGAGAACCAGUUUCCCUUUGGGAAAUAGUCUCUCGCUUCCUCCUGUCUGAACCUGAAGGCAUCAUCAGUAUGUGGGGCCUAAACCAGAGUUCUCCGUUUUCCUGUGGCCAGCCUCUCCGAUGCUCCCACCCAUGUAUCUGAAAAGCACCUUGAUUUAUUUUGAUGAUUUUUUAUUUAUUUAUCUGUAAACAAACUCUGUGUCCCGUGGCCACAGUCACCCACGUUUGUCUCCAAAAUAAACGUCUCUUCUUUGAGAGGGAGAGAAAGAAAGA